AUGGAAACACCUCCGCCCCUCUCCCGCCACAAAGAAAUGUUGGGGUUAAUGCGCUGCCACUGCGGGCAGUGCCGCUCCUGGCGGUGCUUAACAGGCAUCCUCUCAUUUUAUCCCCAUUUCCUUCGGAGGAAGAGGAAUCCGAGGCUCAGAGACCAAAGUGUUUUGCCCAAGGACACAGAGCGAGUGCUGGGAGCCGGGAAAGCUUCUCCGCUCUGUCAGUCGUCAAAGCCGGCCUGGACCCGCCUUCCGUCCCCAAUUCGCGUAGCUCUGGAACCAAGGGAGCGGAGCGAGAAGCCGUGCGUACCUCCAAUGGAAGGAGGGGUCGGGCGGGGGUCGCGGCCCGGCGCGGGUGGGGGUGGGGCGGCGCGGCGUGGCUCGGUCUUGCGGCGGCGGAAGCGGCCUCCUUCGCGGGCGCGCUCCCCGCCCCCGGCCCGCCCCUCGCCAAAUAUGGCGCUUCCUCCCGGGGCCCUGCCUGGCGCUUCCUCCCGGCCUGAGGCCCAUACAAGGCGCUUCCUUCCCGCCGCGUCUGGCAGGCGGCCCGCAGGCGGCUGUGGGCGGGAGCUCGGCCCGCCGGGUCCGCCCGCGCCCGGGAGCCCGCGGCCAGGGGACUCUGCCAAGGAGGGGGCGGCGGCGGCGGCGGCGGGGCCGGGAACGCGUGGCCUGGCCGGGCUGAGGAAACGGCAACCCCUCCCGGCAACCCCUCCCGGCCCUCGUACAGCGCCUCCAGGGACUUAAACUUGCCUCAGCCACGUGAUUACCCUGAUCUGCCUGCUGAGAGAUGAGCAAAGGUGGAGAGGGACUAGAUCUCAGCAGAGACAGCAGUUCCUGAGCGCCCACCCCCCAGCGCUUCCAGAAAUGCAAUGCAACAUGGACCAGCCUGUGAGCAUUUGCUCCUCCUCAGGUGAGGCAGGGAAAGAAAAGCUGAGAGCUUGGGAGUAAUGAGUCGAGUAAAUGCUCGGGAGGGGGCUUUUAGCACUAAGAAGCCUCUGGACUUCAUCCAGAAUAAAAUCACUCAUAGACUUCCAGUCUUUGGUUAUAGACACACACACACACACACAGUGAAUAAGGUGAAAAUAAACGGAAUUUUGUUUGUCUCCCUGGCCUCACAUCAGCUGAGUGCCUGUGAAUUGAGUAUAUGGAGAGGAGAUGAUCUCUAAGGUCCAUGACUGAAGGUUUCUGGGUUUACAUUUUUGGAAAAAACUGGGCCUGGGCUGCACACGCAGGCACUAGGUUGCCUCUGGCCUUGUUCCCACCGAAGGCUGCAGGCCCAGAGCAACCUCUUCUUUCCAGCUAUGAUCUAGGAUUGUGGGUAAUGUAGUCCAGUGGCCAGCUUCUCUGUGGUGCUCAUUUUUGCCCUCCCCUCAUCUCCUUCCACUUGAGCGACUUAGCAGCAGCAGCAGCAGCAGCAGCAGCAGCGUUUCCUUCCGGCUGCCAGCUACCACCCCCUUCUGCUCCAGGCUGAGGGCAGGACAAGGUGAGAAGGCGGUGCUUACUCCUUUCAGGGCUGGGAGAUCCCCAGCUGGAAACCAGCAAGCUAUUUAUAGCUGAGCCUAGCAGAGGAGGAAGGCCUGAGAGAGGCUGGGGAGCUCUGGCAGCUUCCUCUCCAGCUACAGAAUUUGCAGGAACCCCAGGCCUCUUCUGGGGAGGCCUUGUGUUCACUUCUGGGUUGACAGGGAUUUGAGCCUGGAAAAACCCUAUGGAGCAGUAGGGUUUCUGUGUUGCUCCCUGUCUUGAGAGAGACUGAUAACUCCAAUGGCCCUGGGUCCUAGCUUUUAGGCCUCUCUAUGGUGCGGAUAUUUAAUGGAACCCGAGUUCCAAAUAAGCUGAGAAUUUGUGCAUAAAAAGCCAGUGUGACACCCAAUAUGACAGUUUCCUGAGAUUUCUUUGCACUUUUCUUCUUAACCAUAUUAUUUUCCUGUGCUUACCUCCUAAUUCUCUUUUGGGACAGGAACCAAACCUUAUCUUACCAAUGGCACCAACCCUGUAUUUAUGCUAUAAAUGAGUGAUCUUGCCCAAAGAAAAGCCAACUCCCUGCAACAGUACUAGGGGUGUGACUUUUGUUCCUCCACCCACCCAAUUCUCUGCCAGUGCCCUGUGCUUUUCCUGUCAAGCAUCAAAUCUUUGUUUGACUGGGUCACUAGAUUGGAUACUCCUUGUUAACAUAGAUGAUGUCUACCUUGUUGUCUAUUACAUCGCUGUUACCUAUACAAUAAACAGUUGUUGAAUGAAUGAAUGUGAACCUAUGAUAGCUAAUUCUCUAGGUGGAGUAUUUGAUACAUGCUUCAUUGUCACAGUGUUUUACAAAUUGGAAAAGAGUUUCAGCCAUUUGCAUAUCUUUCACCAAGAUCUUGAUAAGUGGUAGAGCUGUGUUAGGAACUGGUGUGUGACUUUGGAGUAGUGCUUAACUGGCAUGAGACUGCCUGUUUGCUGGCACCCAGUAGAAACCUCUGGCUCCCCCUCGCCAAAUGGGUGAGGUGGGUUAGAUGAGAUAUGUAGGCAGACAUGGGCAAACUGGCCUGGUCCCAUGAUAGAGCUGGUGCAGCCAGCCAGAAGAGCUGCCAGGGAAUCCUAAGAAUCUUAAUGAGAAAGACUUGCUCUGAUCUGCCAGAGUGUAAGUCCUGAGGCAGUGACUGUGGGGCCAUAGAGAGGCUAGACAGACUCCAAGGUCUGAGCAUCAGUGUCUGGGGGCUCUUUAGCUGUUACCAGGGACCCCCUGACUCUUGAGUCCAGUAGAUUUUUUUUCAGUCUUCAUUUUCCUUUAGUAGUUCUCACCAGCAUUGACUUGUAAGUGACCAUCUGUGUGUUUUUUUUUUUUUAAUUUAUUUGACUGCAUUGUGUAUAUUAGUUGUGGCGCACAGGCUUCUCUAUAGCCCAGAGCAUGUAGGCUCUUUAUUUGCAGCAUGUGGGUUUAGUUGCCCCAUGGCAUGUGGGAUCUUAGUUCCCCAACCAGGGAUCAAGUCUGAGGCCCCUGCAUUGGAAGGCGGAUUCUUAACCCCUGAACCACCAGGAAAGUCCCUGAUUAUCUCUUCUUGAAGACUUUUCUUUCAUUGCUUACAUGUCUUGAUGUAUAAUGUUCUAUUUGGAUAUUAAAUGUUCCAGUACAAGAACUUCCCUGGUGGUCCAGUGGUUAAGAAUCUGCCUGCCAAUGCAGGGGACAUCAGAGGAUCCCACAUGGUGUGGGGCAACUGGGUCCAUGCACCAGAACUGCCAAGCCCUCAAGCCCAGAGCUUGUGCUCUGCAACAAGAGAAGCCACCACACUGGAAAGCCUGGCCACCACAACGAAGAAUAGCACCCCUGCUUGCCGCAGCUAGAAAAAGCCCCAGCACAGCAAUGAAGGCCCAGCAUAGCCCA
rnacentral:lncRNA from 1 species